UCUGUAUCUCAAAGAAACAGCUUUCUAAUGCCUUUGUGCAAUUUUUCAGUAACACAAGAUGGACU
rfam:Canis lupus familiaris chromosome 1, whole genome shotgun sequence.